UCUCGCAGCGUGAGGGGUUGUGGGGUUCCCGAAGGGUGCUGUGGUGAUCCCCCUUUGGUUAUGGGGGAUGGAGAUUUGGGGUCCUAUGAGGGUUCUGUAGGGACCUCUGUCCUCGAGGAGUGCUGUGAGCCCUUCCCUUGCGGGGUGUGGAGUGAGGUGUAGGGUGCUGCGAGGUUCCUUUUGGGUUAUAGGGGAUUUUAGGGUCCGCUAAGGGUGCUGUGGGAGCCCUUCUUCUCUGGAGUUGUGGGGCAGGAUUUGGGGUUCCCUGCGGCCCUGGUGGGAUGGAGGGCAGGACUGUGGGGUUCCCUGAGGUGGGGUGUGGGGCAGGUCUGUGGGAUUCCUUGAGAUUGGGGCAGGUUUGUACAGUUCCCUGAGGUGGGAUGUGGGGCAGGUCUGUGGGGUUUCCUGAGGCUCUGCUGGGAUAUGGGGCUGAUCUGUGGGGUUCCCGCUGACUCCUCAGCCCUGUGGGCGCUGAGAGCGCUGGAUGUGGGUCCAAGUUAUGUCAUAUUAAAACACACUUUAAGGACCGUGCAGUGGUUUUAACGCGUACUUCCUAAAGAAAUAAGCCUUAAAAACAUCCUGUUGGUGACUGCUUAGCUAAAAUCAGCGAAAAGGCCUUAACGUGUAAAGGAACGUGGGAUGGCAGCAGGGGGAUGAUGCAGAGGUCAGGUGAGCAACCAACAGCACACGGUUUGGUGUCACGUUGGAUGCUGGUCUGUAUAAAUAAGGAGCAGUGGGUGGGAGGAUGGAGGUGUGUGAUAUCCCCCUUACAACAGGUGAGCCUGAUGCUGGAACACUGAUGCUCCCCCUGGUUAAUGUUGUUUAAAGAUGCGUAAACCUGGUGAAUACAUAGAGAGAGCUGCAGUGGCUGCGCCUGGCCCAUGCAGAGAUUUCUCUGCCCUGUUCCAGCCAGCAUCAAGCUGUUGGUCCAGCACUGUGAUUUUGCUUGUACUGCACCAGAUUGGAGAGCUGCAUGGAGAAGUGCAGGAAGCAAAGCAGAGCUGCGUGGCUGCAGUUAUGCAAUAGCUGCAACUUGUAUAACCCCACCGUCAUUUUUCUAUGUGCAGUUUGGGAUUCAGGAACAUCAGUUAGGCUUGAAGUACUGUUGCCAUCAGCACAGGGCUGGGAGGCACUGGCCUGUUUGCUUCUCAUGUCUGUGGUUGGAAACAAUUUUGGUUUCACUCUGUUAAUAGCAGAUGUUGGUCUGCCUUUCAGAACUGUACCGUAACCCCUCCAGAAGUGCCUGUGACCUGAGCAGGAGACGCAUUGCAGAUACCUGUUGAAAUGAACUGUUGAAUAGAUUGAAUGCAGAGUUGUAGGAAUUGCAGUGAAGGACAGACUGUGGUCCCUCAUGUUACAGAACUCUGUGCUGAUGCAUGCUCUGCUGUGCUCCUUGCAGUGCAUCAAGGGGCAGUUUUAGGUUGGACGCUUUGUGAGGCUGAGUCUGGGUUUUAUGUUUUUGGUCUAAAUCUGUACAUUUGAAUUUCUCCUCCUUUCAGCUAUCAUAUGGAAUCAUUCUUCAUAGGUGCAGGUGCCAUCAGGCAACUGCAGAACCAUUUGUCAACUUAGUUCUUUCUUGCAGUGUGGCAUUUGUUAUUCUAUCACAUUUUUUUAGUGCUUUGUCUUUCAGAAUGCUUUAGGGGAACACGAGAAAACUAAAUUGAAAUGUCUUUGUCCGAUGUCACUUCUGCAGCUCCAUACCCGUUUUGCAAAAUCAUUGCAAAUACAUUUUGCUGCUUCUUACAGGACUUCUGCUUUACGGAAAUCCAUGAUGGAUUAUUUGGAAUAAAAUUGUUGGCCAUCAGACUGUGUUUGUGGGCGUGGGAUGUCUGACCUUGUCAUCUGUGAUUGAUUUGUUGCUUGGCUUAGUGUUGCAGGAACAGUGUCCCCAAACCUUAAUAGUUAAAAAAAAACAAAACAGGAUAAUGUCAGUGCAAUACUAAGGAGAAUCUCUGCCCUUUACUGGGUGCGGAGGGGAACGUGGCCAUUGAGGAUAAGGAAAAGGCUGAGGUUCUCAAUGCCUACUUUAUGUCUGUCCUUAAUAGUCAGACCAUUUGUCCUCAGGUGCUCUACCCCCUGACCUGGAAGUCAGGGGUGGGGAGCAGAAUAAACCCCCCACGAUUCAUGCAGAAACAGAGACCACCUGGACUGUCACAAGUCCGUGGGGCAGGAUGGGAUCCACCCGUGGGCACUGAGAGAGCUGGUGGAGGUGAUAGCCAAGCUGCCUUCCACAAUCUGUCAGCGUUCCUGGUCAACCAGAGAGGUCCCAGAGGACUGGAGGCUCGCUGGUGUGACUCCCAUCUACAAGAAGGUCAUAACAACUCCAAGCAACGUGAUAGGUGAGGGGCAGAGUGUUUGGAAGACUGUGUAGAGGAAAAGGACCUGGGGAUGUUGGUUAAUGCUGGGCUGCACGUGAGCCAGCAGCGUGCCCGGCUGGCCAAGAAGGCUGACGCCAUCCUGGCUGUGUCAGCAGCAGCGCAGCCAGCGGGAGCAGGAGCUGCCCGUCCCCUGCGCUCACCUCAGUGCUGCGUUCAGCUCUGGGCCCCUCGCUGCGAGAAAGACGUCGAGGCCCUGGAGCGUGUCCAGAGAAGGGCACGGAGCUGUGAGGGUGCGAGCACAGUGGGGAGCGGCUGCGGGAACGGGGAUGGGUCAGUGUGGAGAAGAGGACACUGAAAUUAGACAUUAUUGCUCGCUACAGUGCCCUGAAAGGAGCUGGUGGGGAGGGGGGUCGACCUCUGCUCCCCUGUAACUAGUGAUAGGAUGAGAGAUGAUGGCCUCAAGUUGCGCCGGGGAGGUGCAGGUUGGACAUCAGGAAAAAUCUCCUCUCUGAAAGAGUGAUCGGGCCCUGGCACAGGCUGCCCAGGGAGGUGGUGGAGUCACCGUCCCUGGACGUGUUGAGGAAUUGUAGAGGUGUGGUACUGAGGGACACGGUUCAGUGGGCAGCACUGGUGGUAGGUGCAUGGUUGGACUGGAUGAUCUUAGUGGUCUUUUCCAACCUUAAUGAUUCUAUGAUUCUGACCACUCCCAACAACCUCAGAACUGGAGGUAUGUCACUUCUUAUCUCACUUCUUUUCUCACCGUGGGCAGCCAGGAUGACUACUUUAAUUAAAGAAUUUCCCUCCUCGGCUCAGGGGAUGCAGCAAGAUAUUUCAUCCUAACCUUGGUUCUGGGAGGUCGUUUAGGAGAGGAUCCUAUUUGGGAGAUUUGGUUUAGAAGAUGCCCUAAGAUGUAGCUUGGGGUGAGUUCAUACUGUCAUAAAAUCAGCUCUGCCUGAGCCCACUGCAAUCCAAUCCUUAGGAAACAGCUAAAUAUACAUUUUGCUAGAAUGCCCGUCGGGCAGGACAGGAUUUUCAGUCAAAUGAAAUUAUUGAUGUCGCUAUGGCUAAUAGAAAAGCCUUCUUCACAAAUCCUGUCGUCGUGAGCUGGAGCCAUCUGGUACUGCGUCUCAUUAAAUCAGGGCAGAACUUCAGGCGCUCUGACCCUGCUGCAGUGCUGGAGCACUCUUUCAUGUGUAUGUAGGACAGAUAGUUCAGAAGGGCCAAGCGUUAGCAGCACGGAAAGACAGAGCGCAUUGCUCUGCUCUCCUGGGAUGCAAUAAAGCAGUGACCUUCCGCCACAAAAUCUGGAGUAAGUCAUGCCCUGGAGUUGUGUCGAGUUAUUUGCUUUUGCUGGUGAGGUGUUGGGUCUGGAACGUGGGCUGCUUAUAAUUGGGUGCAGCAGUCGGUGUCCUGGAAUGAUUAGUGCUGAUACAGCCCGUCAGGUGGGGUGAGUUGUGGGUAAGCAAGGGAUAGCAGCACCUCGAGCAAAUUCCAAGUAAAGAGGGUGUUUUUAACCUUGUUCCUAGUGCCUUGAGAGUUUUUUCUAAACAAACAAUAAGAAAUGUGCAUCCAGGUGAUGUCCUCCUGUUCCUUUUAAUCUGGCGAGCUUCUCAGUCUCAAAACUGUGAUUUGUGUUUCUAAUAACAUUGCAAAGUAAUGGAUAGAGUGCGCCCAAAUUCCCAAAGCUACGCGCGCGUUCUUAGCUGCACCCAAUGGAACAGCACUGGAGUUAGCAAACUCCUGCAGAACCGAAUGCGUUUGGCUGUAAGCUUUGCACACAAAGUGAGCAGCAGUCCCCACCCUGCUAACAAAAUACAACCUCUGGUUGCUCAGUUUGGCACUUCCGUGGCAAUAAAAUGGCUUCUGUGUGGGGAGGUGGGAGUAAUCUCUAGAUUUUCUCGGCUCCAUGUGGAGGCGUGUCCAUGCCUGGGCAAAAAUGGGAAUACUAACCCCGAGAUCUUGAAUUUCCUCUUUGAACAGGAGAAGAAAAUGGCUAUUUAUGGGGUUCUUGCAGCUCCUCCCAGGCCGGAAUCAAAGCUCCCAGCAGACUGAGGCCGCGCAGCGCAGAAACACAGCAUUUAGGACAUCUGUUGCUGGGUGUAUUUCCUGGUAAAUGUGUGCCUCAGAGGAGCAGAAAAUAACUCAUGCGCGUGCAUUGCUGUGGCUGCUGGGAGAUGCUGCUAAUUGACAUCUCUGCAGACUAAAAGUUUGCAUUAAACUUUGUAAAAUUUGA